GAGGCAGAAUAAUUAUUCCCUGCUUGAAAUCAAAUGUCUGAAAUGGAGGUUCAGAAUUUUUUUUACCACAAAGAUUUUGUGACAGUUCCCAGGGAAUCGAGGAACAAGGAAAUAAAAGUCAAAGCUGAGGCUGCCUGGAUCUCAGGAAAUGCACUCUGUGCUCCAGUGUGGGUGCAGCUCUCUAUAGUUUACAUGAUGUGGUCAUGACCAUUGUCUCAUCUGGUCAUUGCAACCCCAUCGCAACCACUAAAAGCCACCAUUAGUCCCAUUUCACAGGUUAGGAAACUGAGACCCAGAGAGGUAGGAUGGAGGGAGAGAAUGAUGGGCAAUGAAGUGGGUGGGGACUGGGGCACAGUCUUGAAUGCUACGUGUCAGGGUCUUCACCACCACUACCUGGGAGUGUCUUCUAGACAUUGAAUUAUUCUGUUUCUUCCAUAUUUGGACAGAGGGCAAAGUCAAGAGAGAGCCUUGGUCUAAUUGGCUGAGCUUGGGCCUCAUGCCACCCCCGAUAGGACCUGAGAAGCAGGACCAGGAGGAGGGUCCCACCAUGGCUACAUAAAACAGAGAACAGGAAGUUUCCCUACAUGUAACAAGGGGCGUUAGGGAGGAAUAAGGAUAAGGAUGCUAGAAAGCCCAAACGCCAAACACAUCCAUUAUAAGAAAUAACCAGCCCAGAGGCUAGGAGAUCUGUGGGGAGGCCAUAGUUCAGAUAAGAGAGGGAGAGACCUGAACUAGCCCAGUGGAGAUGGAGAGAAAUAGAUCAGAAACUUGUAGUAGGUAAAACCCAGAAAUAAUUGGUGAAUGAUUAGCUGUUAGGGUGAGAGAGAGGGUAAAGACAAGGGUGGCUCCCAUGUGUCUUGAGUGGGGCCCUGGGUAGAUGGAGGAGAGGCCCCUGGGAUGGGGAACUCAGCAUGGGGAGCAAGUUUGAGAGGCAGGACAGCGGACUCAGAUAUGGCCAAGGCGUCAGAGUCACAGCCAGGUGGAGCCCAGCAGCCACUUGGAUUCAGGGUCAGGCUCAGGGAGAGAUUCGACUGGAAGUACUGACCCAGGGCCAUGGACACUCAGAGAGUAAUGGAAACCCUGAGAAUGAAUGAGAUCACAGAGAGAGAAUGGGACAGGGUGUAGGGCAGAAUCAUGAGUUAUAGUGACAUUUGAGGAGCCAAUCAAGGUGUGGGCAGGUGACAAGAGAAAAAGAAGGAAGGGCCUGAGAGAUGGGACAAACAACUAGGAGAUGGGUUGCCAUGGCAACCAAGGUAGUGAAGCGUUUCAAGGAGAAAGUAAUCAACACUGCUAUAUGGCCGGAAUCUCACAAAAAUAAGAAACAAAGUCCUUUGAAUUUAGUAAUCGGGGGGCUAGUAUGAACCUUGGCAGGAACUGUUUUAAGGGUUGAGGGGGUAAAAGCUAGC
rnacentral:lncRNA from 1 species